CAUGCGCGCACGCUCACACAGACAUCUGUAGAACAGCCGUAGCGUUGUAGCCUGACUGGUCUCAAAGGGGACAGGAAUCAGUGAGGUGUGUUGUAGCCUGACCGGUCUCAAAGGGGACAGGAAUCACUGAGGUGUGUUGUAGCCUGACCGGUCUCAAAGGGGACAGGAAUCAGUGAGGUGUGUUGUAGCCUGACCGGUCUCAAAGGGGACAGGAAUCAGUGAGGUGUGUUGUAGCCUGACCGGUCUCAAAGGGGACAGGAAUCACUGAGGUGUGUUGUAGCCUGACCGGUCUCAAAGGGGACAGGAAUCACUGAGGUGUGUUGUAGCCUGAUGUGUCUCAAAGGGGACAGGAAUCACUGAGGUGUGUUGUAGCCUGAUGUGUCUCAAAGGGGACAGGAAUCACUGAGGUGUGUUGUAGCCUGAUGUGUCUCAAAGGGGACAGGAAUCACUGAGGUGUGUUGUAGCCUGACCGGUCUCAAAGGGGACAGGAAUCACUGAGGUGUGUUGUAGCCUGAUGUGUCUCAAAGGGGACAGGAAUCACUGAGGUGUGUUGUAGCCUGACCGGUCUCAAAGGGGACAGGAAUCACUGAGGUGUGUUGUAGCCUGAUGUGUCUCAAAGGGGACAGGAAUCACUGAGGUGUGUUGUAGCCUGACCGGUCUCAAAGGGGACAGGAAUCACUGAGGUGUGUUGUAGCCUGAUGUGUCUCAAAGGGGACAGGAAUCACUGAGGUGUGUUGUAGCCUGACCGGUCUCAAAGGGGACAGGAAUCACUGAGGUGUGUUGUAGCCUGAUGUGUCUCAAAGGGGACAGGAAUCACUGAGGUGUGUUGUAGCCUGAUGCGUCUCAAAGGGGACAGGAAUCACUGAGGUGUGUUGUAGCCUGACUGGUCUCAAAGGGGACAGGAAUCACUGAGGUGUGUUGUAGCCUGACCGGUCUCAAAGGGGACAGGAAUCACUGAGGUGUGUUGUAGCCUGACCGGUCUCAAAGGGGACAGGAAUCACUGAGGUGUGUUGUAGCCUGACCGGUCUCAAAGGGGACAGGAAUCAGUGAGGUGUGUUGUAGCCUGACCGGUCUCAAAGGGGACAGGAAUCAGUGAGGUGUGUUGUAGCCUGACCGGUCUCAAAGGGGACAGGAAUCACUGAGGUGUGUUGUAGCCUGACCGGUCUCAAAGGGGACAGGAAUCACUGAGGUGUGUUGUAGCCUGACCGGUCUCAAAGGGGACAGGAAUCACUGAGGUGUGUUGUAGCCUGACCGGUCUCAAAGGGGACAG